UUGCCAUGAUGGUUACAUUUUUCGUCAACAGCAUGUCACACAGUGAAUGUUGAUGCAUUAGGUCUGAGCAA